rnacentral:rRNA from 1 species
GGGUGCGAUCAUGCCAGCACUAAUGCACCGGAUCCCAUCAGAACUCCGCACUUAAGCGUGCUUGGACGAGAGUAGUACUAGGAUGGGUGACCUCCCGGGAAGUCCUUGUGUUGCACCCC